rnacentral:snRNA from 1 species
GUGCUCACUUCGCAGCGCAUAUACUAAAAUUGGAACAAGACACAGA